UUGUGGAGGUACAAGACGGACGUUAUGUCAAAUAGGAAUUCCUGCAUGCGGUGACCCAGGUGAACCUUUGCAUGGUAAUCGUUUACCAGACGAUAGAACGACCUACUCUGUCGAUGCCACUCUUCAUUUCACCUGUCAGGAGGGCUAUACAUUAUCUGGAGAAAGUGUUUUAAGGUGUAUGAAUAAUGGAGCAUGGAAUCAUCAAAGACCAUCGUGUGAAGCUGUCGAGUGUGAGGGAAGCCCACCAGACGUCGCCCUUGCAUCCAACAUGAUACUAGGAUCAGCGUAUCAAGAUAUAGCUCUAUACACCUGUCAAGAUGAUUAUAUUCCUGAUAAUGAACCAAUCAGCUUCUGUCAGCAUACAGGCACAUGGAGUCCCCCUAACUUUACUUGUUCAGGUAAGAUG